rnacentral:rRNA from 1 species
UACGGAGGGUGCAAGCGUUGUUCGGAUUCAUUGGGCGUAAAGGGUGCGUAGGUGGCGGGGUAAGUCAGGUGUGAAAUCUCGGGGCUCAACCCCGAAACUGCACUUGAUACUGCCUUGCUUGAGUACUGGAGAGGAGAUUGGAAUUUACGGUGUAGCAGUGAAGUGCGUAGAUAUCGUAAGGAAGACCAGUGGCGAAGGCGAAUCUCUGGACAGUUACUGACACUGAGGCACGAAGGCCAGGGGAGCAAACGGG